rnacentral:lncRNA from 1 species
UGUAAUGAUGGGUUCAGUUGGCUCCUGAAGGACAGGUUCCAAAACUUCACUCAUCGUUUCCACGGGUGGAAUCACAGCAGGUGCCUGCACCACAAUAUCAGGGACUGUAGCGGGUGCUUGCACCACGACCUCAGGAACUAUUGGUGCGGGAAUAAUAGGUAGUGAGAAGUAUGGUUCCUGAAUCAUCGGAUUAGGUGCACACACCCGCUUCUCCUCAAGAUCAAUCUCUCGAGCUACCAUGCUCCCCCUCAC